GACGAAGGAGGCUAGCGUUGUUCGGAAUUACUGGGCGUAAAGCGCGUGUAGGCGGUUGUCCAAGUUGGAUGUGAAAGCCUUGAGCUCAACUCAAGAAAUGCAUUCAGGACUGGAUGACUAGAGGACCGGAGAGGAUAGUGGAAUUCCCAGUGUAGUGGUGAAAUACGUAGAGAUUGGGAAGAACACCAGUGGCGAAGGCGGCUAUCUGGACGGUUUCUGACGCUAAGACGCGAAAGCGUGGGGAGCAAACAGG
rnacentral:rRNA from 1 species